UACGGAGGAUCCAAGCGUUAUCCGGAUUUAUUGGGUUUAAAGGGUGCGCAGGCGGAUUUUUAAGUCAGCGGUCAAAUCGUGGGGCUCAACCCCAUCCAGCCGUUGAAACUGGGGAUCUAGAGUGUGCGAGAGGUAUGCGGAAUGCGCAGUGUAGCGGUGAAAUGCAUAGAUAUCGCGCAGAACUCCGAUUGCGAAGGCAGCAUACCGGCGCCCAACUGACGCUGAAGCACGCAAGCGUGGGUAUCGAACAGG
rnacentral:rRNA from 1 species